rnacentral:rRNA from 1 species
GAUGAACGCUAGCGGCGUGCCUAACGCAUGCAAGUCGAACGGGAAACCUGCCUUCGGGCGGGUGGAGAGUGGCGAACGGGUGAGUAACACGUAGGUGACCUGCCCUAGAGAGGGGGAUAACCAGUGGAAACGCUGGCUAAUACCCCGGAUGUCAUACUGCUUAGACAGGUAUGACUAAAGCUUUGGAAGCGCUCUAGGAGGGGCCUGCGGUCCAUCAGCUAGUUGGUGAGGUAAUGGCUCACCAAGGCGAAGACGGAUAGGGGGCGUGAGAGCGCGACCCCCCACACUGGUACUGAUACACGGACCAGAUACCUACGGGUAGCAGCAGCGAGGAAUAUUGCGCAAUGGACGCCAGUCUGACGCAGCAACGCCGCGUGGAGGAUGAAGGUCUUCGGAUCGUAAACUUCUUUUCUGAGAGAAGAGAAAGGACGGUAUCUCAGGAAUAAGGCCCGGCUAACUACGUG